AUGCUAAGGCACCUCGCUGCUUUAGAAAGCGGCCCUGCCAUCACCGGGACGACACACUACCCCGCUUCCGAGCCAAGCUCCAGGAAAAGGGGGCUUAGCGGCGGCAGUAACCCGAGUCGGACCUCGCCUGGAGAGAGGACACAGAAGGGCAAGGCUCCGGCCGCAACCCCAAGCCGAGUCGCGAGGGGGCAGGGACCCCCAGCCUCCCGCGCGGCCAAUGGCAGGCCCAGGAGAGGGAAGCCCCGCAGCCGGGGAGGGUGGAGAUUCCCGACGCCCCGCACAGUCCCGCAGCGCCCUCGGCCGAGAUCUAACCUGGUCUCUAACGCCUCGCGCCGCUGGAGAGCGGAACUCGGGCAGUUAUUAGCCGGGGUCCGCUCAGCGCCCCCACUUCUCACCCCUGACCCGCAGGCGAGGACCCAUCGGAGCUUCCGGGAGGCGGGGCCAAGGAAAGGAAGAAGGGAACCGAAAGAGGAAGGGGCUUCAACGAGGCCGGGCGGAAGUGACGUCCCGCGAGGGCGCCGCGCGCCCGGAAACAGAGGCCGUCGCUCUAGCAACGCCCAGGCAGCCGACCUCAGCGUGCACCCGCUCCGCGCUGUCGCGGGCGAGAGCGCCCCUGGCUUCCUCGGCUCGUCGGCCACUGUUGCUGCGACCCAGUGUUUGUACUGGAAUAAAGUGCCUGGUUCCGUUGCCUCUUCCGGCUGGUACCUGGAUUCCUAAAAGGACAUGUACACCAGACGAACCAUCCUCAAAACCCCAGACCCCAAAUAAAGACAAAACUCAUGCUCCUUUCCUUUCUGAG
rnacentral:lncRNA from 1 species